UACGGGGGGAGCAAGCGUUGUUCGGAUUUACUGGGCGUAAAGGGCGCGUAGGCGGCCACGACAAGUCACUUGUGAAAUCUCCGGGCUUAACUCGGAACGGCCAAGUGAAACUGUCAAGCUAGAGUGCAGAAGGGGCAAUCGGAAUUCUUGGUGUAGCGGUGAAAUGCGUAGAUAUCAAGAGGAACACCUGAGGUGAAGACGGGUUGCUGGGCUGACACUGACGCUGAGGCGCGAAAGCCAGGGGAGCAAACGGG
rnacentral:rRNA from 1 species